ACAGAUGCUAUGAUAGGGAAGAGUAAAUUAUGUCUACAUUUUCAGAGAGGAAACGGUAGCUGAGAAGUUUCUAUUUGUACUUAAUUGAAGGUAGCCCUUGAGCAGCUUUAGUGAACUAACAGUAGUUAAAGCCGGUUAAACACCGUUACCGAAUUAAGAGCCAGUAGGGAAGGCUGAGAAAAUGUGUCAUUUAGCAUUGAUCUUAACCGCUGCUGGAAUUAAAGGUGGUACCGCGAAUUAAAACUCCUUCGUCCUUUUA
rnacentral:ncRNA from 1 species